rnacentral:rRNA from 14 species
UACGGUGGAGUGCAGUGAAACGCGACACGCAUUGUGAAGUGCAGAUUCCGUGCAUCUCCUC